AAGUCGUAACAAGGUUUCCGUAGGUGAACCUGCGGAAGGAUCAUUAACGAGGUAGGGUUCUUCACGGAGCCCGAACCCCCCACCCUUUGCUGUUGCGAAUACGUUGCUUCGGCGGGACCUCACCCCUCGGGGAGAGGCCGGGACCCCGGUCCCGGACAGCGCCCGUCGGGGGAAACAACCAACUCUUGUAUCAACCGUGCAGUCGGAGUACUAUGUACAAUCAAAACAAAACUUUCAACAACGGAUCUCUUGGUUCUG
rnacentral:misc_RNA from 1 species